UGAAUUCAGGAAGCCUCUGGCCAGAGCAAGAGUGAAUAUUGAAAAAAAAUUUCACGAGAUUCACAAAUAAACUCGAGUCGAGCCAAUCUAGUAUAAGACUGGUGAUGGGGUUUGAUGAGUUCUCCAUGAUCUCCGUCUAGUCGGAACUCACGAUAGAGAGAUUGUAUCAUACGAUAACUACACCUAGAGAUUCAUCUUUUCUAUUCUGCUGGGUUGCCACUGCAUACUGCUAGACGUCACUGGUGGAUCAUAAAAAUUUACUAGAAUUAUUUUUGGAUCAACGAUCCUUGUUGAGGUA
rnacentral:lncRNA from 1 species